UACGUAGGGGGCUAGCGUUGUCCGGAAUCAUUGGGCGUAAAGAGCGUGUAGGCGGUCCGGUAAGUCCGCUGUGAAAGUCGGGGGCUCAACCCUCGAAUGCCGGUGGAUACUGUCGGGCUAGAGUGCGGAAGAGGCGAGUGGAAUUCCUGGUGUAGCGGUGAAAUGCGCAGAUAUCAGGAGGAACACCGGUGGCGAAGGCGGAUCUCUGGGCCUUACCUGACGCUGAGGCGCGAAAGCUAGGGGAGCAAACGGG
rnacentral:rRNA from 1 species